GAUGAACGCUGGCGGCGUGCUUAACACAUGCAAGUCGAACGAUGAAGCCCAGCUUGCUGGGUGGAUUAGUGGCGAACGGGUGAGUAACACGUGAGUAACCUGCCCUUAACUCUGGGAUAAGCCUGGGAAACUGGGUCUAGUACCGGAUAGGAGCGUCCACCGCAUGGUGGGUGUUGGAAAGAUUUAUCGGUUUUGGAUGGACUCGCGGCCUAUCAGCUUGUUGGUGAGGUAAUGGCUCACCAAGGCGACGACGGGUAGCCGGCCUGAGAGGGUGACCGGCCACACUGGGACUGAGACACGGCCCAGACUCCUACGGGAGGCAGCAGUGGGGAAUAUUGCACAAUGGGCGCAAGCCUGAUGCAGCGACGCCGCGUGAGGGAUGACGGCCUUCGGGUUGUAAACCUCUUUCAGUAGGGAAGAAGCGAAAGUGACGGUACCUGCAGAAGAAGCACCGGCUAACUACGUG
rnacentral:rRNA from 1 species